UGCGUAGGCGGGCCGAUAAGUCAGAGGUGAAAGUUUUCAGCUUAACUGGACAAUUGCCUUUGAUACUGUUGGUCUUGAAUUAGGUUGAGGUUAGUAGAAUGUGACAUGUAGCGGUGAAAUGCAUAGAUAUGUCAUAGAAUACCAAUUGCGAAGGCAGCUAGCUGGGCCUAUAUUGACGCUGAGGCACGAAAGCGUGGGGAGCGAACAGGAUUAGAUACCCUGGUAGUCC
rnacentral:rRNA from 1 species